rnacentral:ncRNA from 1 species
AGUGCCAAACUUUUCGCGCAUUAGAUCCCAUAAAAGGCGUUGGUUGAUAUAGACAGCAGGACGGUGGCCAUGGAAGUCGGUAUCCGCUAAGGAGUGUGUAACAAACCAGGUUAUGGAACAGAAGUAGAAAGAAUUAUACAAGUGAAAUGUUU